rnacentral:rRNA from 1 species
AGAGAGAGACAUGCGCGCAUAUCAAUAAGCGGAGGAAAAGAAACUAACAAGGAUUCCCUUAGUAACGGCGAGUGAAGCGGGAAGAGCUCAAAUUUGAAAUCUUCAAGGUUUUACCUUGACGAAUUGUAGUUUAAAGAAGUGUUUUCUGCUGAAGUUUUGGUAAAAGUUCUUUGGAAUAGGACAUCAUAGAGGGUGAGAAUCCCGUAUUUGACCAUUAUUUUCAGCUUUGAUGAUACACUUUCAAAGAGUCGGAUUGUUUGGGAAUGCAGUCCAAAAUGGGUGGUAAAUUUCAUCUAAAGCUAAAUAUUGGCGAGAGACCGAUAGCGAACAAGUACCGUGAGGGAAAGAUGAAAAGAACUUUGAAAAGAGAGUUAAACAGUACGUGAAAUUGUCAAAAGGGAAGCGUUUGACACCAGUGUUGUUUUCUCGAAAAUCAAUUAAAAAUGGCUCGAUUUUGUAUUGUUGAGACCUUAAAAGCUCACUGUACAUUUUUCGUGUCUUUUUUAAUGCACUUUUCGUUUAACAAGUCAACAUCAGUUUCUUUUGUUGUAAAAGGGUCAUUGGAAGGUGGCUUUCUUUUCGGAGAAAGUGUCUAUAGCCUUUGGCCUCUGCAAUCGGAGAGACUGAGGUCUGCAGCGUAGACUCUUCGGGGUUAGAUACAUUUGUGCUAAGUUAUAGCUUUUUAUAGACAACUUGUUGACUAUAAUUAGUCUUGUAGCUUACUCGCUUAUGCUAUUUUACCUACGCUUAGGAUGUUGAAGAUGUAGCACAUCAU